UAUAUUCACAGGUUUGGGGAUAAAAAUGAGAACAUACGAGGGCCAUUAUUUUGUCUCUCAUGGCACCUCCACUGCAGUGGAGAACUGGAUUUCUUCAGAUGAACUAGCUUUCCCGGUAACUCUCUUAAAUGAAAGUGGAUCAUUGUCCUAAAUUUAUAAUAUUUCAGAACCAGGAGAUACGAUCAAGAUCCACCUCCUUUCCUUUCUCACUGCCACUUUGUCUUUGUGUGUCCACCCUCGUUUAAUUUCCCUUCCUACUUUUUUUGCCUAUAUGACUCUACUAUUUUUUUUUACCAGAAUUUUUCUUAACUUCAGGAAGCUCCCCUUCAUGUUCAGCGUUCUUGAAACCUGCACCAGAUUCCCUCGAGACCUGCCUUACCUCAUUGGAUCAGUGACAAGUGAAGUCGGCAUUUAUUACCACAUUCCUGGCAGAAAUUGAUAAUCACCUAUGUCUGGCAAAGAGAAAAACAUCUGACAAGGCUUGACAAUGAGAGAGACACACACACAGAGAAUGAACAAGAUUGAGAGGAAACUGAUAAAACAUCAUGAAAAAAGAGAUGAUAUAACCAAAGUUGUAGCUGUGGUCAGAGAGGCCUGUGACAACAGAGAAUGGGCCAGAGAAACAUGACAUUGCUGGCUUUGAAGAUAGAGGAAGGGGCCCAUGAGCCAAGGAAUGUGGGUGACUUCUAGAAGCUGAAAAAAACAAGGAAAGAACAUUUUCCCAAGAGCCUUAAGAAAGGAACACAGCCU